rnacentral:rRNA from 1 species
CCUACGGGAGGCAGCAGUAGGGAAUCUUCCACAAUGGACGAAAGUCUGAUGGAGCAACGCCGCGUGAGUGAAGAAGGGUUUCGGCUCGUAAAGCUCUGUUGGUAGUGAAGAAAGAUAGAGGUAGUAACUGGCCUUUAUUUGACGGUAAUUACUUAGAAAGUCACGGCUAACUCCGUGCCAGCAGCCGCGGUAAUACGUAGGUGGCAAGCGUUGUCCGGAUUUUUUGGGCGUAAAGCGGUUGCAGGCGGUGCAAUAAGUCUGAUGUGAAAGCCGUCGGCUGAACCGGAGAAUUGCAUCAGAAACUGGUGGACUUGAGUGCAGAAGAGGAGAGGGGAACGCCAGGUGUAGCGGUGAAAUGCGUAGAUAUAAGGAAGAACCCCAGUGGCGAAGGCGGCUCUCUGGUCUGCGACUGACGCUGAGGCUCGAAAGCAUGGGUAGCGAACAGGAUUAGAUACCCGAGUAGUC